rnacentral:rRNA from 1 species
GACGAACGCUGGCGGCGUGCUUAACACAUGCCAGUCGAACGGAAAGGCCCUGCUUUUGUGGGGUGCUCGAGUGGCGAACGGGUGAGUAACACGUGAGUAACCUGCCCUUGACUUUGGGAUAACUUCAGGAAACUGGGGCUAAUACCGGAUAGGAGCUCCUGCUGCAUGGUGGGGGUUGGAAAGUUUCGGCGGUUGGGGAUGGACUCGCGGCUUAUCAGCUUGUUGGUGGGGUAGUGGCUUACCAAGGCUUUGACGGGUAGCCGGCCUGAGAGGGUGACCGGCCAGAUUGGGACUGCGAUACGGCCCAGACUCCUCCGGGAGGCAGGAGUGGGGAAUAUUGCACAAUGGGCGGGAGCCUGAUGCAGCAACGCCGCGUGCGGGAUGACGGCCUUCGGGUUGUAAACCGCUUUCGCCUGUGACGAAGCGUGAGUGACGGUAAUGGGUAAAGAAGCACCGGCUAACUACGUG